GAUGAACGCUAGCGGCAGGCCUAAUACAUGCAAGUCGGACGGGAUUGAGGAGCUUGCUCUUCAUGAGAGUGGCGCACGGGUGCGUAACACGUAUGUAACCUACCUUGUUCAGGGGGAUAGCCUCUCGAAAGAGAGAUUAAGACCGCAUAACAUAUUGAAGUGGCAUCACUUUAUUAUCAAAUAUUUAUAGGAACAAGAUGGGCAUGCGGAACAUUAGCUAGUUGGUGAGGUAACGGCUCACCAAGGCGACGAUGUUUAGGGGAUCUGAGAGGAUGGCCCCCCACACUGGAACGGAGACACGGACCAGACUCCUCGGGGAGGAAGACGUAAGGAAUAUUGGUCAAGGGACGGAAGUCUUAACCGGCCAGGCCGCGUGCAGGAAGACGGCCCUAUGGGUUGUAAACUUCUUUUGCGGGGGAAUAAACCUCUCUACGUGUAGAGAGCUGAAUGUACUCUGAGAAUAAGGAUCGGCUAACUCCGUGCCAGCCGCCGCGGUAA
rnacentral:rRNA from 1 species